GAGGAUAUAGCUCAGUUGGUAGAGUGCCUGCCUCACAUGCAGAAGAAGGCCCUGGGUUCAAUUCCCAGCACCACCA
rnacentral:tRNA from 1 species